GCAAACUUGGUCAUUUAGAGGAAGUAAAAGUCAUAACAAGGUUUCCGUAGGUGAACCUGCGGAAGGAUCAUUAGUGAUUUGGCCGAGAGGCCUUUAAUCCAAUCCUCACACCUGUGAACUCGUCGGUGGGCUCAGGCCCGCCGGACAUUUACAAACUAUGUGUAAUGAACGUCAUAUAACAUAAACAAAACAAAACUUUCAACAACGGAUCUCUUGGCUCUCGCAUCGAUGAAGCACGCAGCCUGUCUCUUUUAGAGGAAGUAAAAGUCAUAACAAGGUUUCCGUAGGUGAACCUGCGGAAGGAUCAUUAGUGAUUUGGCCGAGAGGCCUUUAAUCCAAUCCUCACACCUGUGAACUCGUCGGUGGGCUCAGGCCCGCCGGACAUUUACAAACUAUGUGUAAUGAACGUCAUAUAACAUAAACAAAACAAAACUUUCAACAACGGAUCUCUUGGCUCUCGCAUCGAUGAAGAACGCAGC
rnacentral:misc_RNA from 1 species